AUUGAACGCUGGCGGCAGGCCUAACACAUGCAAGUCGUGCGGAUGAAGGGAGCUUGCUCCUGGAUUCAGCGGCGGACGGGUGAGUAAUGCCUAGGAAUCUGCCUGGUAGUGGGGGAUAACGUCCGGAAACGGGCGCUAAUACCGCAUACGUCCUGAGGGAGAAAGUGGGGGAUCUUCGGACCUCACGCUAUCAGAUGAGCCUAAGUCGGAUUAGCUAGUUGGUGGGGUAAAGGCCUACCAAGGCGACGAUCCGUAACUGGUCUGAGAGGAUGAUCAGUCACACUGGAACUGAGACACGGUCCAGACUCCUACGGGAGGCAGCAGUGGGGAAUAUUGGACAAUGGGCGAAAGCCUGAUCCAGCCAUGCCGCGUGUGUGAAGAAGGUCUUCGGAUUGUAAAGCACUUUAAGUUGGGAGGAAGGGCAGUAAGUUAAUACCUUGCUGUUUUGACGUUACCAACAGAAUAAGCACCGGCUAACUUCGUG
rnacentral:rRNA from 1 species